UAAAUAAAUAAGUAUACCCCGGAGUUGGGGGAUACAGCUCCCGAGAUGAGCUGCCUCCGUUGAAGAAACCACAAGUGCAGUGGCAUCGUCAGCAUCCGGAAUCCGGGCUCCUGAGGAGCAGCUACUUGAGGUAGCGAAGUCAGAGUUUCAAGAGCCCCAGAUGAGGAACUGUACGUGCAUAAACGAGGCUGUUAUCAACUGUCGUCCAUUAGGCGUCCGCCACAUCUCAACAUGCAUCAUGCUGGAGUGCCGGCUGAAUGCUCAAUAAAUUAUAUAUGUAACAUGCUUUUUAUCAAUUACUCGCACCUUCAAGCCGCAGACGACAGACGACAAGCUGCAGCGAUGUCCAUGGCAAAUUGCGGGACAAAACGUAAAGUCGGAGAGGAGACGAGGGCAAAGAGUUGAGGCCGGGCCAAGAAGACCAGGCGAGAGCAGACCGGACCAGACCAGACGACCAUGCCAACGAGCUGGGUCUUCGAAACUUCGUUGGCAGCAAAUGCAAUUCCAGCCAGUAAAUGGAGACGGCAGCUAUCCGAGUCCAAAGGCGUUAACAAGUGUGGCAGCGAAAAGGGAGCUGGGUCGGCUCUGGGCUCCUGAAACUUUUCCAUUGGGUUCGCCCUGCCUCUGUUUUGAGACCACAGUCAAGCCUCUAUGGGUGGAGUCUGUUGUUGCAGAGUAUGCAAAAUGUAACUUCAAGUUAGGAUGAUACAUUACUUUUAAGAAAAAACUCAACGUAGGUGGUAUAAAGAACAUGGUAUCUGAAUAAAGGACAUGACAUCAAAAAUCAAUAUGGAAAUUUCCUGUUUUAAAAAGUCUCGCGAUUUUAUAUUUUUUCAAUCUGUUCCUGGGAAGUUGGCCUUUAUUUCGGUUUAUAAUUACAAGGCUCUAGUUCAUCAUUUGCAUCACAGUCUGCUGGUUUUUUCCACAUCCUCAAUCUCAGAGCCAGCUGCAUAAUAUUCACAACUUAUUCAUUGUUUCGUCAAUCAGGCGUUGACAUGCCAGUUCCGCCCUAAUGGCCAACAAACUGAGCAACAGGAGGAACUCGAAUGGGAAAAGAAAAGGAGGAGGAGGAGGAGGAGCACCUGCCACGAAAGCCAGCCAAAGUUAUUCAAGCAAAACUCCUCGAACACACAAAAAAGCCAACCAAAACCGAACAAAACCAACGAAAGAAAGCAAUUUUGUGAAAAUUUAAGAUGUGUUGCGGGCAAACUUUGGCCUCCUUCUCCUUCGCCUCCUCGAACUUCUGCUCCGCCGUGUUCUGUGCAUUUUACAUACAACACGAAGGAAACAUGGGAACAACAAGCACACGAAAAAGGUAGAGAUAAAAAUGCGCAGAUACCGGAGGAGACCGGGUCCCAGCUGAACGUCGGGAUCCAGAUCCAAGCCAGCCAGCAGGCCAGCCAGCCAGACCCAGGAGUUCACUCAUUUAAAUUAUCAACACGAAGAGGGAAGCGAAUGGAUGCAAGAUGUUCUAGAGGAGCGGAGAAUCCUCCAGCGAAUCCACUUAACUUCAAGUUAACACAUAUGCUUGGUUGCCUGCGUACGAUAAUAAUAACCAUGGUCCCGAUGAUCACCUUGAUGAUGAAGCUCCCUGUGCAGACGAUGAUGAAGUUCUGGUUCUUCCUCCAUUCAUUCUCCUUUUUGUUCUCCAGUUAUCCAGUUUGCCAAAUUGUUAAUGGUUAUCAAGGACGAGGAGGGACUCCUCUUCAAUUUCUGCAACCUGAGACCUUGUCCGAAAUUGCUCUACCUUUUUGGGCUGCUGCUGGUUUUCAAUCGGGUUUUUACUUUCCUGCUUGGACACAACAUGCAGAUGGAACUGAUUUUACUUUAAGUUAAGUUAAGAACGAAAAUAGGAGCAAUCUUAGUUCACAGAGCCCUUUAUAAAUGCAGAGACCUAACGGAUUAAUAUUACAUUUAGUUCUUACUGCUCUAGUAGCCUCUGAGUAUUAUAUUAA